rnacentral:rRNA from 1 species
UACGUAGGGUGCGAGCGUUGCCCGGAUUUAUUGGGCGUAAAGGGCGCGUAGGCGGCCACGCACGUCCGUUGUGAAAUCGCCCGGCUCAACUGGGCGGGGUCAGCGGAUACGGUGUGGCUCGAGCAAGCUAGGGGGCAAUGGAAUUCCCGGUGUAGUGGUGGAAUGCGUAGAUAUGCGGAGGAACACCGAUGGCGAAGGCAGCCUCCUGGGAUAACACUGACGCUCAUGCACGAAAGCGUGGGGAGCAAACAGG